rnacentral:rRNA from 2 species
UCCCUACGGGGUGCACCAGGCGCGAAAACUUUACAAUGCUGGCAACAGCGAUAAGGGAACCUCGAGUGCCAGGUUACAAAUCUGGCUGUCGAGAUGCCUAAAAAGCAUUUCAUAGCAAGGGCCGGGCAAGACCGGUGCCAGCCGCCGCGGUAAUACA